rnacentral:misc_RNA from 1 species
AACCUAGCACACCUGCGGUGUGUACCUGCGGAAGGAUCAUUAACGAGUUACCACUCUAUAACCCUUUGUGAACAUACCUACAUGUUGCUUCGGCGGUCGGCCCCCCCGGGCCCCCGGCCCCGCUCACGCGGGGCGUCCGCCGGAGGAUAACCAAACUCUGAUUUAACGACGUUUCUUCUGAGUGGCACAAGCAAAUAAUCAAAACUUUCAGCAAUGGAUCU